rnacentral:rRNA from 1 species
AAGUCGUAACAAGGUCUCCGUUGGUGAACCAGCGGAGGGAUCAUUACCGAGUUUACAACUCCCAAACCCAAAUGUGAACAUACCUUUUGUUGCUUCGGCGGACUCGCCCCGGCGUCCGGACGGCCCUCGCGCCGGCCGCGGCCCGGAUCCAGGCGGCCGCCGGAGACCAUCUAAAACUCUUUGUAUUAUCAGCAUCUUCUGAAUGAGCCGCAAGGCAAAACAAAUGAAUCAAAACUUUCAACAACGGAUCUCUUGGUUCUGGCAUCGAUGAAGAACGCAGCGAAAUGCGAUAAGUAAUGUGAAUUGCAGAAUUCAGUGAAUCAUCGAAUCUUUGAACGCACAUUGCGCCCGCCAGCAUUCUGGCGGGCAUGCCUGUUCGAGCGUCAUUUCAACCCUCGAGCUCCCCUUGGGGAGCCCGGCGUUGGGGAACGGCAGCACCGCCGGCCCCGAAAUGGAGUGGCGGCCCGUCCGCGGCGACCUCUGCGUAGUAAUUCUACCCCGCACCGGAACCCCGACGUGGCCACGCCGUAAAACAACCCAAUUCUGAACGUUGACCUCGGAUCAGGUAGGAAUACCCGCUGAACUUAA